UUCUACUUCACAGCAAACAUACUGACACAAAUAUAAGAAACUCUACUUUUACUUCACAGUAAACAUACUGACAUAAAUAUAAGACGCUCUCUACUACUACUUCACAGUAAACAAUGACACAAAUAUAAGACACUCUACUUCUACUUCACAGUAAACAUAAUGACAUAAAUAUAAGACACUCUCUGUUACUACUUCACAAUGACACAAAUAUAAGACACUUUCUGUUUCUACUUCACAGCAAAUAUACUGACACAAAUAUAAGACACUCUACUUCUACUUUCACAGCAAACAUACUGACACAAAUAUAAGACACUCUACUUCUACUUUCACAACAAACAUACUGACACAAAUAGACACUCUACUUCUACUUUCACAACAAACAUACUAACACAAAUAUAAGACACUCUCUGUUUCUACUUCACAGUAAACAAUGACACAAAUAUAAGACACUUUCUGUUUCUACUUCACAGCAAACAUACUGACACAAAUAUAAGACACUCUACUUCUACUUUCACAGCAAACAUACUGACACAAAUAUAAGACACUCUACUUCUACUUUCACAACAAACAUACUGACACAAAUAGAACCUUUACUUCUACUUUCACAACAAACAUACUGACACAAAUAUAAGACACUCUCUGUUUCUACUUCACAGUAAACAAUGACACAAAUAUAAGACACUUUCUGUUUCUACUUCACAGCAAAUAUACUGACACAAAUAUAAGACACUCUACUUCUACUUUCACAGCAAACAUACUGACACAAAUAUAAGACACUCUACUUCUACUUUCACAACAAACAUACUGACACAAAUAUAAGACGCUUUUUCUUCUACUUCACAGCAAACAUACUGACAUAAAUAUAAGAAACUCUUUUACUUCACAGUAAAUAUACUGACAUAAAUAUAAGACGCUCUCUACUACUACUUCACAGUAAACAUGACAUAAAUAUAAGACACUCCCUGUUACUACUUCACAGUAAACAUACUGACACAAAUAUAAGACGCUCUCUACUACUACUUCACAGUAAACAUACUGACACAAAUAUAAGACACUCUACUUUUACUUCACAGUAAACAUAAUGACAUAAAUAUAAGACACUGUUACUACUUCACAGUAAACAUACUGACACAAAUAUAAGACACUCUCUGUUUCUACUUCACAGUAAACAAUGACACAAAUAUAAGACACUUUCUGUUUCUACUUCACAGCAAAUAUACUGACACAAAUAUAAGACACUCUACUUCUACUUUCAAAACAAACAUACUGACACAAAUAUAAGACACUCUACUUCUACUUUCACAACAAACAUACUGACACAAAUAUAAGACACUCUACUUCUACUUUCACAACAAACAUACUGACACAAAUAUAAGACACUCUACUUCUACUUUCACAGUAGACAUACAGACACAAAUAUAAGACGCUCUACUUCUAGGUCAUGGUCUAGAGGUUAAUAUGGUGGCAAACUCUGAACUCAACCAUACAUCAUGAAGAGGGCCCAGGGGCCGGACAUCAAAAAGUGGAUGUUUGAUCAGAAAGUGCGUCCGCAGGUUCAAUUCUUUUGAGACUGUGUUGACUUCGUUACAAAGUCCACUUUCACUCUGCACUGUCAACACAUUCUCUAUUCCGCGCUCGCUACUCUUUUCCAGCGUGUGCAGCUGGACAGAUAGUUAACAGCAUGAAGAAAUGGAAGUUUAAUUUACAUUUUUUCCAAAGUCGAUGGUGUCUUCUUCUACUCACCCCACUGCCGCCUGGCCGUCGCCCCCUGCGGGGGUGGCAGGAGUACUACCACCCCGGUUUGAAACCCUGCUUUGAAUGGUUUCAUCAAAACUAUUUAGGUGAUGCUCGGCAAGCCAAAUGAAGAGCUUUGGUGGACCGAAUGUGGCCUGCGGGCCGCCAGUUGACUGUUAUAAUAAGGGCCGUCUUAUAUUUGUGUCAGUGGGGUCAUAAAUGAGCAUUGGAAGCCAAAAUGUCGUAAUAAACAGGUCGGUCACCAGGGAUUCUCCAACUGUGGUGGUACUAAAUCAUUUUUGGUUCUUAAAAAAGAUAUUUUGGUUUUCAAUGAGAAAAAAAUAAGUUCUCCACAGGCAUACAUCCAUCCAUCCAUCUUCUUCCGCUUAUCCGAGGUCGGGUCGCGGGGGCAACAACCUAAGCAGUGAAGCCCAGACUUCCCUCUCCCCAGCCACUUCGUCUAGCUCUUCCCCGGGGAUCCCGAGGCGUUCCCAGGCCAGCCGGGAGACAUAGUCUUCCCAACGUGUCCUGGGUCUUCCCCGUGGCCUCCUACCGGUUGGACGUGCCCUAAACACCUCCCUAGGGAGGCGUUCGGGUGGCAUCCUGACCAGAUGCCCGAACCACCUCAUCUGGCUCCUCUCCAUGUGGAGGAGCAGCGGCUUUACUUUGAGUUCCUCCCGGAUGGCAGAGCUUCUCACCCUAUCUCUAAGGGAGAGACCCAAACUCAUUUGGGCCGCUUGUACCCGUGAUCUUAUCCUUUCGGUCAUGACCCAAAGCUCAUGACCAUAGGUGAGGAUGGGAACGUAGAUCGACCGGUAAAUUGAGAGCUUUGCCUUCCGGCUCAGCUCCUUCUUCACCACAACGGAUCGAUACAGCGUCCGCAUUACUGAAUUUAGUGUUCAAAGUCGAGACUAUUUCUUGCUUGGCGUAACGAUAUUUUCGUCUCAAGAGGUGACGUUUUUGUCACGUGCUUCACAUUCGACUAAUUGGGGUGCAGCGCAGAUCCAAGAUGGCGGUCUCAACAACGUCUAGCGACGAAGAGGAAAAUACUCUAAAACACCUUAAAAAGUUAGAAAAAAGAACAACAAAAUGUGCUCCAUGCAUGUUACGUCUGUUAGGAAUGAAGAGGUGAAUGAUUUCACUAUCAGAAGCUGGGAUACUCACAGGAAUUGUUUCAAACGGGGGCUUUGCCGUGAUGGCAAGUCUCACAAAGCAACUGAGAUAUUCAAUCAAUCAAUCAAUGUUUAUUUAUAUAGCCCCAAAUCCCAAAUGUCUCAAAGGACUGCACAAAUCAUUAUGACUACAACAUCCUCGGAAGAACCCACAAAAGGGCAAGGAAAACUCACACCCAGUGGGCAGGGAGAAUUCACAUCCAGUGGAACGCCAGUGACAAUGCUGACUAUGAGAAACCUUGGAAAGGACCUCAGAUGUGGGCUACUCCCCCUCUCUAGGGGACCGAAAGCAAUGGAUGUGGAGCGGGUCUAACAUGAUACUGUGAAAGUUCAAUCCAUAGUGGCUCCAACACAGCCGCGAGAGUUCAGUUUAAAGCGGAUCCAAGACAGCAGCGAGAGUCCCGUCCACAGGAAAUCAUCCCAAGGGGAGGUGGAUCAGCAGCGUAGAGAUCAAUCAAUCAAUCAAUCAAUCAAUGUUUAUUUAUAUAGCCCCAAAUCACAAAUCAUUAUGACUACAACAUCCUCGGAAGAACCCACAAAAGGGCAAGGAAAACUCACACCCAGUGGGCAGGGAGAAUUCACAUCCAAUGGGACGCCAGUGACAAUGCUGACUAUGAGAAACCUUGGAGAGGACCUCAGAUGUGGGCAACCCCCCCCCUCUUGGGGACCGAAAGCAAUGGAUGUCGAGCGGGUCUAACAUGAUACUGUGAAAGUUCAAUCCAUAGUGGCUCCAACACAGCCGCGAGAGUUCAGUUCAAAGCGGAUCCAAGACAGCAGCGAGAGGCCCGUCCACAGGAAACCAUCCCAAGCGGAGGCGGAUCAGCAGCGUAGAGAUGUUCCCAAUCGAUACAGGCGAGCGGUCCAUCCUGGGUCUCGACUCUGGACAGCCAGUACUUCAUCCAUGGUCAUCGGACCGGACCCCCUCCACAAGGGAGGGGGAGACAUAGGAGAAAGAAAAGAAGCGGCAGAUCAACUGGUCUAAAAAGGAGGUCUAUUUAAAGGCUAGAGUAUACAGAUGAGUUUUAAUGUGAGACCAUCUCGAACUGUUACCGGGAGGGCAUUCCAGAGUACUGGAGCCCGAAAUGUUGUAUCGAUUUAAAGAUAUUCUGAUGACGCUGAGCUUCACCCGACUUGUGACCGGCGCUUCAUUGACAAGAAGCGUUUGGAUUCUGCUGAAAAUCUGGCCAAACGGCUGGAAGUGGAUCAAGAUGAGUUUGUGGCGUCUGACAACGCUUCAGGCUCGACGGGUGACAUUCCAAAGAAAAAACUAAGAUGGAAGACGGGCCUGCCUCUCGCUUCUGUGCUUCCUGCCAGGUGUGUCAUUUGCAAGGAAACGGACAAGAGAGUCCCUGCGGGAGGCGACCGGCAGAAGGAGCAUCUUUCACAGGCACACACGCUUUCAGCAGAAGUCAACCAACCUUUGUUGCCCGCUACAACAUAUUCUGCGAGAGGAUCAUCCGCCAACGGAUAAUUGUUCAUCAGGAGGUGCUGAGAAUGAAGCAACUACGACGAAUGUUUUUAAAUACGGUGCAGAAACAUGAAGAUUGUGAUGCUUCAAACUUCAGGCAGGAUCAAUGAAAGAGGAGGCUGACUCUGUUUCAAGCGCAACGUCUGCCAACUGGUUUUUGUGGAGACUUUGUCUGCAGAUAAGCUGAUCGACAGGCUACCUCAUCCAUCAGGUACAGACACAACUGAGUCAACUGAAGUAAGCCAAGGUGAAAGUGACACUGAACACACGGCAAGAAAUACAGCCGGUCCGCAAACUACUGAGAACGCGAGGACAUUUUAUAGUGCAGCGCUGAUAUUGAAGCAGCUGCUACAGUGGGGCUAAAAAGUAUUUAGUCAGCCACAGACUGUGCAAGUUCUCUCGCUUAAAAUGAUGACAGAGGUCUGUCAUUUUCAUCAUAGGUACACUUCAACUGUGAGAGACAUGCUUUACAGUAGGUCUGGUGUUCUUGGGAUGCAACUCAGUAUUCUUCUUCCUCCAAACACGACCAGUUGAGUUUAUACCAAAAAGUUCUAUUUUGGUUUCAU